rnacentral:rRNA from 1 species
UACGGGGGGGGCAAGCGUUGUUCGGAAUUAUUGGGCGUAAAGGGCGCGUAGGCGGCCCGGUAAGUCAAAGGUGAAAUCCCUCGGCUCAACUGAGGAACUGCCUUUGAAACUGUCGGGCUUGAGGCCGGGAGAGGGUAGUGGAAUUCCCAGUGUAGCGGUGAAAUGCGUAGAUAUCGGGAGGAACACCUGUGGCGAAAGCGGCGCACUGGACCACAUCUGACGCUGAGGCGCGAAAGCUAGGGGAGCAAACAGG